rnacentral:rRNA from 1 species
UACGGAGGAUGCGAGCGUUAUCCGGAUUUACUGGGUUUAAAGGGUGCGCAGGCGGUUGUUUAAGUCAGGGGUGAAAGCCCUAUGCUCAACAUAGGAAUUGCGCUUGUGACUGGCGGGCUCGAGUACGGUAGAGGGGGGUGGAAUUCCUGGUGUAGCAGUGAAAUGCGUAGAGAUCAGGAGGAACACCGAUGGCGAAGGCAGCCCCCUGGGCCUGUACUGACGCUCAUGCACGAAAGCGUGGGGAGCAAACAGG